UACGUAGGGUGCAAGCGUUGUCCGGAUUUACUGGGCGUAAAGAGCGCGCAGGCGGUCGUUCAAGUCGCGUGUGAAAGCCCCCGGCUCAACUGGGGAGGGUCACGCGAUACUGAUCGACUCGAAGGCAGGAGAGGGUAGUGGAAUUCCCGGUGUAGUGGUGAAAUGCGUAGAUAUCGGGAGGAACACCAGUGGCGAAGGCGACUACCUGGCCUGUUCUUGACGCUGAGGCGCGAAAGCUAGGGGAGCAAACGGG
rnacentral:rRNA from 1 species